rnacentral:rRNA from 1 species
AGUCUGGUGCCAGCAGCCGCGGUAAUUCCAGCUCCAAUAGGAUAUAUCAAAGUUGUUGCAGUUAAAAAGCUCGUAGUUGAAUUUCUGGAAGGUAGAAGUGUUUUUUUUAGAGAAGCAAUUUUUUAUUGAAAGCACCGCUUUCCAUUUUGUGGAUUUCUGUUUUGUAUAAAGAUAGUUUACUCUAUUUUAUAUAAAAUACCACUCCGUCACUGAGAGCAAAUUGGAGUGCUCAAAGCAGGCUUUAUUAGCUUUGAACAUUUUAGCUUGGAAUGACAAGAUAUGACUUUUGUUUUAUUUUGUUGGUUAUGAAAUAAAAGUAAUGAUUAACAGGAACAGUUGCGGGGGUACUCGUAUUGAAAGGUCAGAGGUGAAAUUCUUGGAUUCUUUCAAGACGAACGACUGCGAAAGCAUUUACCAAGGAUGUUUUCAUUAAUCAAGAACGAAAGCUCGGGGAUCGAAGAUGAUUAGAUACCAUCGUAGUCCGACGCCAUAAACGAUGCCGACUCGGGAUUAUUUUGUUUGUUUAAAUUAAAAAAGAACACAAAGUAGCACCGUAUGAGAAAUCAAAGUCUUUGGGUUCCGGGGGGAGUAUGGUCGCAAGGCUGAAACUUAAAGGAAUUGACGGAAGGGCACACCAGAGGUGGAGCCUGCGGUUUAAUUUGACCCAACACGGGGAAACUUACCAGGUCCAGACAUGAUGAGGAUUGACAGUUUGAAAGCACUUUCUUGAUUUCAUGGGUGGUGGUGCAUGGCCGUUCUUAGUUGGUGGAGUGAUUUGUCUGGUUGAUUCCGAUAACGAACGAGACGGGGUGAAUUUACUAGUUUGUUAUAUAAUUUACGUUAUAUAAGACUUCUUUAUUCGACAACUUGGUUUACCAAGAGGAAGCGCCCCGCAAUAACAGGUCUGUGAUGCCCUUAGAUGUUCUGGGCUACACGCGCGCUACAAUGACGAAUUCAACGAGUUUAAAAUUAAUUCCUUAUCCGGAAGGAUGUGGGUAAUCUUUUCAAUAUUCGUCGUGAUGGGGCUAGAUUUUUGCAAUUAUUAAUCUUCAACGAGGAAUCUCUAGUAUGUGCGAGUCAUCAGCUUGCGCAGAAUGCGUCCCUGCCCUUUGUACACACCGCCCGUCGCACCUACCGAUUGGACGAUCCGGCAAGAUGUUUGGAGUUGUUUUGAUUGUAGAGUAAUUUAUGAUGAAAAUGACAAAGCUCUUCAAACCUUAUCGUCUAGAGGAAGGUGAAGUCGUAACAAGGUCUCCGUAGGUGAACCUGCGGAGG